rnacentral:rRNA from 1 species
UACGUAGGGUGCAAGCGUUAAUCGGAAUUACUGGGCGUAAAGCGUGCGCAGGCGGUUGUGCAAGACCGAUGUGAAAUCCCCGGGCUUAACCUGGGAAUGGCAUUGGUGACUGCACGGCUAGAGUGUGUCAGAGGGGGGGUAGAAUUCCACGUGUAGCAGUGAAAUGCGUAGAUAUCGGGAGGAACACCAGUGGCGAAGGCGGCUAUCUGGGCUGCAACUGACGCUGAGGCGCAGAGCGUAGGGUAGCAAACAGG